rnacentral:rRNA from 1 species
AACAAACGCUGGCGGCGUGCCUAAUACAUGCAAGUCGAACGGGGAAAGUUUUCGGGUGAGUACUAGUGGCGCACGGGUGAGUAACGCGUGGAUAAUCUGCCUUAGAGUGGGGGAUAACUAGUCGAAAGAUUAGCUAAUACCGCAUAAGACCACAAGAACUGCGGUUCAAGGGGUCAAAGGUUUUUCGCUCUAAGAUGAGUCCGCGUAAGAUUAGCUAGUUGGUGAGGUAAUGGCUCACCAAGGCGACGAUCUUUAACUGGUCUGAGAGGAUGAUCAGUCACACUGGAACUGAGACACGGUCCAGACUCCUGCGGGAGGCAGCAGUAGGGAAUAUUGCACAAUGGAGGAAACUCUGAUGCAGCGACGCCGCGUGAGUGAUGAAGGCCUUCGGGUCGUAAAGCUCUGUCGCAAGGGAAUAACACAAUGAAUGUACCUUGCAAGAAAGGAUCGGCUAACUUCGUGCCAGCAGCCGCAGUAACAC